GGAGGGUACAGAGUGGAUCUUGGAGAAGGGGCGGCUGCUGAGCCUCCAAGGAAACCAACCAGGUGUAACCAUCCACAACCUCCGGUCUCCCGAUCU
rfam:Camelus ferus unplaced genomic scaffold scaffold51476, whole genome shotgun sequence.